CUACGGGAGGCAGCAGUGGGGAAUUUUGCGCAAUGGGGGAAACCCUGACGCAGCAACGCCGCGUGAGUGAUGAAGGCCUUCGGGUCGUAAAGCUCUUUUAGUGGGGAAGAAGCCCACCUGGGCGAAUAAUCCAGGUGUUUGACGGUACCCACAGAAAAAGUUCCGGCUAACUACGUGCCAGCAGCCGCGGUAAUACGUAGGGAGCAAGCGUUGUUCGGAAUUAUUGGGCGUAAAGAGCGCGUAGGCGGUUCGGUAAGUCUGACGUGAAAUCCCGGAGCUUAACUCCGGAACUGCGUUGGAUACUGCCGAGCUUGAGUAUGGGAGAGGAGAGUGGAAUUCCCAGUGUAGAGGUGAAAUUCGUAGAUAUUGGGAGGAACACCCGUGGCGAAGGCGGCUCUCUGGACCAUAACUGACGCUGAGGCGCGAAAGCUAGGGUAGCAAACGGGAUUAGAUACCCCGGUAGUCCUAGCCGUAAACGAUGGGCACUAGGUGUUGGAGGUAUCGACCCCUCCAGUGCCGCAGCUAACGCAUUAAGUGCCCCGCCUGGGGAGUACGGUCGCAAGACUAAAACUCAAAGGAAUUGACGG
rnacentral:rRNA from 1 species